GACCCUGUCGUCUAGAGGCCUAGGACAUGGCCCUUUCAAGGCCAAAACCGGGGUUCGAAUCCCCGCAGGGUCA
rnacentral:tRNA from 2 species